rnacentral:lncRNA from 1 species
UAGGCGGCCCAUGGGCAGAGCUGGGACACUAGUGGGAAGGAAGGAAAGAAGGAAGAAGGCCCUGGCUGACGGGCCUGAGGACAAGACCCAAGGAGAGCCUCCCUGAAGAUGCCUAGCCUCCUCCUCUCUACCUUGGGAUCGCCUUGGUGCCAUCCUCAGUGUUUCCCCAGUGACGGGGUGGAGUAAGGAUGCACACAGCACAGGUGCCUGAGCCGGUUGGUCUGGAUUCCCAGGAAGAAUUCCAGGUUGGAGAAAAGGGAAUCCUCUAGUCCAACUGAGCAGAGACUCCUCUCAGUGAGAGAAAGGUCUGUCCCUGCGGCAUCCAGUCUGUGGGUCCUGUCCCAUCCAUCCUGACCUGUUCCAUCUCAGCCCCAGGACUCAGUACUGCGGUUGCCAACACUGCUGCCAGGCAUGAUGGAUGGGCCACGUUCCGAUGUGGGCCGUUGGGGUGGCAACCCCUUGCAGCCCCCUACCACGCCAUCUCCAGAGCCAGAGCCAGAGCCAGACGGACGCUCUCGCAGAGGAGGAGGCCGUUCCUUCUGGGCUCGCUGCUGUGGCUGCU